UGAUACGUNCUCUACGAGUUCGAGUUGUUUGGGAAUGCAGCUCAAAAUGGGUGGUAAAUUCCAUCUAAAGCUAAAUAUUGGCGAGAGACCGAUAGCGAACAAGUACCGUGAGGGAAAGAUGAAAAGCACUUUGGAAAGAGAGUUAAACAGUACGUGAAAUUGUUAAAAGGGAAACGAUUGAAGUCAGUCGUGUUUAUUGGAUUCAGCCGGUCUUCGGUGUACUUCCUUUAAACGGGUCAACAUCAGUUUUGUCCGGUGGAUAAAGGCAGUAGGAAUGUGGCUCCCUCGGGAGUGGGAUAGCCUAUUGUCACAUACACUGGAGGAGACUGAGGACUGCA
rnacentral:rRNA from 1 species